AUACUGGGGGAUAACACUUAGAAAUAGGUGCUAAUACCGCAUAAGCGCACAGCUUCGCAUGAAGCAGUGUGAAAAACUCCGGUGGUAUACGAUGGAUCCGCGUCUGAUUAGCUGGUUGGCGGGGUAACAGCCCACCAAGGCGACGAUCAGUAGCCGGCCUGAGAGGGUGAACGGCCACAUUGGGACUGAGACACGGCCCAAACUCCUACGGGAGGCAGCAGUGGGGAAUAUUGCACAAUGGGGGAAACCCUGAUGCAGCGACGCCGCGUGAGUGAAGAAGUAUUUCGGUAUGUAAAGCUCUAUCAGCAGGGAAGAAAAUGACGGUACCUGACUAAGAAGCCCCGGCUAACUACGUGCCAGCAGCCGCGGUAAUACGUAGGGGGCAAGCGUUAUCCGGAUUUACUGGGUGUAAAGGGAGCGUAGACGGCAGCGCAAGUCUGAAGUGAAAUCCCAUGGCUUAACCAUGGAACUGCUUUGGAAACUGUGCAGCUGGAGUGCAGGAGAGGUAAGCGGAAUUCCUAGUGUAGCGGUGAAAUGCGUAGAUAUUAGGAGGAACACCAGUGGCGAAGGCGACUCACUGGACUGUAACUGACGCUGAGGCUCGAAAGCGUGGGGAGCAAACAGGAUUAGAUACCCUGGUAGUCCACGCCCUAAACGAUGGAUACUAGAGG
rnacentral:rRNA from 1 species